GAGUUUGAUCAUGGCUCAGAUUGAACGCUGGCGGCAUGCCUUACACAUGCAAGUCGAACGGCAGCAUGAUCUAGCUUGCUAGAUUGAUGGCGAGUGGCGAACGGGUGAGUAAUACAUCGGAACGUGCCCUGUAGUGGGGGAUAACUAGUCGAAAGAUUAGCUAAUACCGCAUACGACCUGAGGGUGAAAGUGGGGGACCGCAAGGCCUCAUGCUAUAGGAGCGGCCGAUGUCUGAUUAGCUAGUUGGUGGGGUAAAGGCCCACCAAGGCGACGAUCAGUAGCUGGUCUGAGAGGACGAUCAGCCACACUGGGACUGAGACACGGCCCAGACUCCUACGGGAGGCAGCAGUGGGGAAUUUUGGACAAUGGGGGCAACCCUGAUCCAGCAAUGCCGCGUGUGUGAGGAAGGCCUUCGGGUUGUAAAGCACUUUUGUCCGGAAAGAAAUCGCACUUACUAAUAUUAGGUGUGGAUGACGGUACCGGAAGAAUAAGGACCGGCUAACUACGUGCCAGCAGCCGCGGUAAUACGUAGGGUCCAAGCGUUAAUCGGAAUUACUGGGCGUAAAGCGUGCGCAGGCGGUUGUGCAAGACCGAUGUGAAAUCCCCGGGCUUAACCUGGGAAUUGCAUUGGUGACUGCACGGCUAGAGUGUGUCAGAGGGGGGUAGAAUUCCACGUGUAGCAGUGAAAUGCGUAGAGAUGUGGAGGAAUACCGAUGGCGAAGGCAGCCCCCUGGGAUAACACUGACGCUCAUGCACGAAAGCGUGGGGAGCAAACAGGAUUAGAUACCCUGGUAGUCCACGCCCUAAACGAUGUCAACUAGUUGUUGGGGAUUCAUUUCCUUAGUAACGUAGCUAACGCGUGAAGUUGACCGCCUGGGGAGUACGGUCGCAAGAUUAAAACUCAAAGGAAUUGACGGGGACCCGCACAAGCGGUGGAUGAUGUGGAUUAAUUCGAUGCAACGCGAAAAACCUUACCUACCCUUGACAUGCCACUAACGAAGCAGAGAUGCAUUAGGUGCUCGAAAGAGAAAGUGGACACAGGUGCUGCAUGGCUGUCGUCAGCUCGUGUCGUGAGAUGUUGGGUUAAGUCCCGCAACGAGCGCAACCCUUGUCUCUAGUUGCUACGAAAGGGCACUCUAGAGAGACUGCCGGUGACAAACCGGAGGAAGGUGGGGAUGACGUCAAGUCCUCAUGGCCCUUAUGGGUAGGGCUUCACACGUCAUACAAUGGUGCAUACAGAGGGUUGCCAAGCCGCGAGGUGGAGCUAAUCCCAGAAAAUGCAUCGUAGUCCGGAUCGUAGUCUGCAACUCGACUACGUGAAGCUGGAAUCGCUAGUAAUCGCGGAUCAGCAUGCCGCGGUGAAUACGU
rnacentral:rRNA from 1 species